UGAGAGAACACAUGAUGUUUGAAAAGGGUA
rnacentral:piRNA from 1 species